rnacentral:rRNA from 1 species
GGCCAAGUUUUUAAGGGCGCACGGUGGAUGCCUUGGCACCAGGAACCGAUGAAGGACGUGGGAGGCCGCGAUAGUCCCCGGGGAGUCGUCAACCAGGCUUUGAUCCGGGGGUUUCCGAAUGGGGAAACCCGGCAGUCGUCAUGGGCUGUCACCCGCUGCUGAACACAUAGGCAGUGUGGAGGGAACGCGGGGAAGUGAAACAUCUCAGUACCCGCAGGAAGAGAAAACAACCGUGAUUCCGGGAGUAGUGGCGAGCGAAACUGGAUGAGGCCAAACCGUAUGCGUGUGAGACCCGGCAGGGGUUGCGUAUGCGGGGUUGUGGGAUCUCUCUUCCACGGUCUGCCGGCCGUGGGACGAGUCAGAAACCGUUGAUGUAGGCGAAGGACAUGCGAAAGGUCCGGCGUAGAGGGUAAGACCCCCGUAGUCGAAACGUCAGCGGCUCGUUUGAGAGACACCCAAGUAGCACGGGGCCCGAGAAAUCCCGUGUGAAUCUGGCGGGACCACCCGCUAAGCCUAAAUAUUCCCUGGUGACCGAUAGCGGAUAGUACCGUGAGGGAAUGGUGAAAAGUACCCCGGGAGGGGAGUGAAAUAGUACCUGAAACCGUGUGCCUACAAGCCGUGGGAGCGUCGGAUGCAGCUUGCUGUAUCUCGUGACUGCGUGCCUUUUGAAGAAUGAGCCUGCGAGUUUGCGGUGUGUUGCGAGGUUAACCCGGGUGGGGUAGCCGUAGCGAAAGCGAGUCCGAAUAGGGCGUUUCAGUAGCGCGCUCAAGACCCGAAGCGGAGUGAUCUAGCCAUGGGCAGGUUGAAGCGGAGGUAAGACUUCGUGGAGGACCGAACCCACCAGGGUUGAAAACCUGGGGGAUGACCUGUGGUUAGGGGUGAAAGGCCAAUCAAACUCCGUGAUAGCUGGUUCUCCCCGAAAUGCAUUUAGGUGCAGCGUCGUGUGUUUCUUGCCGGAGGUAGAGCACUGGAUAGGCGAUGGGCCCUACCGGGUUACUGACCUUAGCCAAACUCCGAAUGCCGGUAAGUGAGAGCGCGGCAGUGAGACUGUGGGGGAUAAGCUCCAUGGUCGAGAGGGAAACAGCCCAGAGCAUCGACUAAGGCCCCUAAGCGUACGCUAAGUGGGAAAGGAUGUGGAGUCGCACAGACAACCAGGAGGUUGGCUUAGAAGCAGCCACCCUUGAAAGAGUGCGUAAUAGCUCACUGGUCAAGUGAUUCCGCGCCGACAAUGUAGCGGGGCUCAAGCGUACCGCCGAAGUCGUGUCAUUGACACAUGUACCUCCAACGAGGGUGUUGAUGGGUAGGGGAGCGUCGUCUGCCGGGUGAAGCAGCCGCGUAAGCGAGUUGUGGACGGUUGACGAGUGAGAAUGCAGGCAUGAGUAGCGAUACAAACGUGAGAAACGUUUGCGCCGAUUGACUAAGGGUUCCUGGGUCAAGCUGAUCUGCCCAGGGUAAGUCGGGACCUAAGGCGAGGCCGACAGGCGUAGUCGAUGGAUAACCGGUUGAUAUUCCGGUACCCGCCGUGAAGCGUCAAACAUUGAAUCCAGUGAUGCUAAGCCCGUGAAGCCGCCCCUGAUCUCUUCGGAGUGAGGGGGAGUGGUGGAGCCGGUGACCCGAGCUGGUAGUAGGUGAGUGAUGGGGUGACGCAGGAAGGUAGUCCAUCCCGGGCGGUGGUUGUCCCGGGGUAAGGGUGUAGGCCGUGCGAUAGGUAAAUCCGUCGCACAUAAGGCUGAGACCUGAUGCCGAGCCGAUUGUGGUGAAGUGGAUGAUCCUAUGCUGUCGAGAAAAGCCUCUAGCGAGUUUCAUGGCGGCCCGUACCCUAAACCGACUCAGGUGGUCAGGUAGAGAAUACCGAGGCGUUCGGGUGAACUAUGGUUAAGGAACUCGGCAAAAUGCCCCCGUAACUUCGGGAGAAGGGGGGCCACAUCCGGUGACGGCACUUGCUGCCGGAGCUGGGGGUGGCCGCAGAGACCAGCGAGAAGCGACUGUUUACUAAAAACACAGGUCCGUGCGAAGCCGUAAGGCGAUGUAUACGGACUGACGCCUGCCCGGUGCUGGAACGUUAAGGGGACCGGUUAGCUCCAUUUCGGUGGGGCGAAGCUGAGAACUUAAGCGCCAGUAAACGGCGGUGGUAACUAUAACCAUCCUAAGGUAGCGAAAUUCCUUGUCGGGUAAGUUCCGACCUGCACGAAUGGCGUAACGACUUCUCGACUGUCUCAACCAUAGGCCCGGUGAAAUUGCACUACGAGUAAAGAUGCUCGUUUCGCGCAGCAGGACGGAAAGACCCCGGGACCUUUACUACAGUUUGAUAUUGGUGUUCGGUUCGGCUUGUGUAGGAUAGCUGGGAGACUUUGAAACGCGGACGCCAGUUCGUGUGGAGUCGUCGUUGAAAUACCAGUCUGGUCGUGCUGGAUGUCUAACCUGGGUCCGUGAUCCGGAUCAGGGACAGUGUCUGAUGGGUAGUUUAACUGGGGCGGUUGCCUCCUAAAGGGUAACGGAGGCGCCCAAAGGUUCCCUCAGCCUGGUUGGCAAUCAGGUGUUGAGUGUAAGUGCACAAGGGAGCUUGACUGUGAGACCGACGGGUCGAGCAGGGACGAAAGUCGGGACUAGUGAUCCGGCGGUGGCUUGUGGAAGCGCCGUCGCUCAACGGAUAAAAGGUACCCCGGGGAUAACAGGCUGAUCUUCCCCAAGAGUCCAUAUCGACGGGAUGGUUUGGCACCUCGAUGUCGGCUCGUCGCAUCCUGGGGCUGGAGUCGGUCCCAAGGGUUGGGCUGUUCGCCCAUUAAAGCGGUACGCGAGCUGGGUUUAGAACGUCGUGAGACAGUUCGGUCCCUAUCCGCUGUGCGCGUAGGAGUCUUGAGAAGGGCUGUCCCUAGUACGAGAGGACCGGGACGGACGAACCUCUGGUGUGCCAGUUGUUCUGCCAAGGGCAUGGCUGGUUGGCUACGUUCGGGAGGGAUAACCGCUGAAAGCAUCUAAGCGGGAAGCCUGCUUCGAGAUGAGGACUCCCACCCACUUGAUGGGGUAAGGCUCCCAGUAGACGACUGGGUUGAUAGGCCGGAUAUGGAAGCACGGUAACGUGUGGAGUUGACCGGUACUAAUAGGCCGAGGGCUUGUCCUC